GAUGAACGCUGGCGGCGUGCCUAAUACAUGCAAGUAGAACGCUGAAGCUUGGUGCUUGCACCGAGCGGAUGAGUUGCGAACGGGUGAGUAACGCGUAGGUAACCUGCCUGGUAGCGGGGGAUAACUAUUGGAAACGAUAGCUAAUACCGCAUGACAACAGUUAUUGCAUGAUAACUGUUUAAAAGGGGCAACUGCUCCACUACCAGAUGGACCUGCGUUGUAUUAGCUAGUUGGUGAGGUAACGGCUCACCAAGGCGACGAUACAUAGCCGACCUGAGAGGGUGAUCGGCCACACUGGGACUGAGACACGGCCCAGACUCCUACGGGGGGCAGCAGUAGGGAAUCUUCGGCAAUGGACGGAAGUCUGACCGAGCAACGCCGCGUGAGUGAAGAAGGUUUUCGGAUCGUAAAGCUCUGUUGUAAGAGAAGAACGAGUGUGAGAGUGGAAAGUUCACACUGUGACGGUAUCUACCAGAAAGG
rnacentral:rRNA from 1 species